rnacentral:tRNA from 1 species
GCACGGACGGGCUAUUAGCUCAGUGGUAGAGCGCGCCGUAGGUGCGAUGAUUUACUUCACGGGCGAGGUCUCUGGUUCAAGUCCAGGAUGGCCCAG